rnacentral:rRNA from 1 species
UGCAAGUCGAGCGGAUGAGAAGAGCUUGCUCUUCGAUUCAGCGGCGGACGGGUGAGUAAUGCCUAGGAAUCUGCCUGGUAGUGGGGGACAACGUUUCGAAAGGAACGCUAAUACCGCAUACGUCCUACGGGAGAAAGCAGGGGACCUUCGGGCCUUGCGCUAUCAGAUGAGCCUAGGUCGGAUUAGCUAGUUGGUGAGGUAAUGGCUCACCAAGGCGACGAUCCGUAACUGGUCUGAGAGGAUGAUCAGUCACACUGGAACUGAGACACGGUCCAGACUCCUACGGGAGGCAGCAGUGGGGAAUAUUGGACAAUGGGCGAAAGCCUGAUCCAGCCAUGCCGCGUGUGU